UACGUAGGGGGCUAGCGUUGUCCGGAAUCAUUGGGCGUAAAGCGCGUGUAGGCGGCCCGGUAAGUCCGCUGUGAAAGUCGGGGGCUCAACCCUCGAAUGCCGGUGGAUACUGUCGGGCUCGAGUACGGGAGAGGCGAGUGGAAUUCCUGGUGUAGCGGUGGAAUGCGCAGAUAUCAGGAGGAACACCAAUAGCGAAGGCAGCUCGCUGGGACGUUACUGACACUGAGGCGCGAAAGCGUGGGGAGCGAACAGG
rnacentral:rRNA from 1 species